rnacentral:tRNA from 1 species
GGCCUGGUGGUCUAGUGGUAUGAUACGCGCUUCGGAUGAAACUUCGGAAAAAGUCCGGUCCUCUGAAAGGGGGACCUGGGGGCUCCCCCCAUGCGCGUGGCCCCGGGUUCGACUCCCGGCCAGGCCC